AUCUGUUCACUCCGCAUCGCACAUAGCAUCUGUGCCCAGCAUCUAUGCAUUUUAUCACUGAUAUCUGUCAGGUCUGUGCUGUUUUUGUCCGUGCUUUUACUUUGUUUCUCUUUCAGUCUUUUAUGUUACUUCCUGUCUGCCAUUGUUUCCUUCCUGUGUCUAGUCCUUGUGCUUCCUCAGUGAGUAGAGAUUUGUGAUUAGCGCUUUCCCUUUAUUGUUUAAGUUACUUGUGUUUCUGACCUUGGACUGUACAUCGACACCUGCCUAUGCCCUGUUUGGAUUUGUUUGCUUGCUUUUGGACUGCCUACCCGUGUACCGAACCCUGCUUAGUAAAACGUUCUACUGCUUGUUCUGAGUCGUGCAUUUGAGUUCUGCACAUCACCACCAAGUUGUAACAAUAUCUUGAUCUCAAUUCUGCUUAAAUUGGUUCUUGCUUGUUCCUGUUUUUUUCCUAGCGGCAAAUGUUAAUGAAGAGGCUCUUAAGUCACUGUCAAAAGAAGAUCUGCGGGACCUUUUCCCAGGGCCCGAACAUUUUCUCAGGAGAAAAUCUAUUUGGGAGGUGGUCCACCCUGUGUUUGAACUCUUCAAGCGAUUACACAAAAGAUUGCAGAACAUCAGGACCCCAAAGAAACCCCAAGGGCCUAAACCAAAAGGGGGGAAAAAGAGACACCUUCAUUUUGAAGAAAGCGAUGAAGAUGAUUUUGCCUCCAGCUCAUCCACCGUUAUUAUGUCGCCAAGUUCCAGCAGCCACAUCAGCAGCUCCCCAGAAAGGGAAGGGGUUCACCAACCCAUAAGCAGCACACCAAUGAAGCAGGCGGAUGUUGUUGAAGGCCAGCAGGAUGGCAGGAUACUUCAGGCACGACACUACAAGACUCUUCAACAGUUAUGUCAAAAACCCAGACAGAAUAAGGAUGCCAUGAAACAGAUCCUUGACCUCGAGUUUGAGGGAAGAAGGGCAUUUAUUGAUUCAGAUACGCUGAAGGAAUGUGACCGGCCGGCAAAAAUGUCGACGUUUACCCAUGCUUCAAAGAAAUCGACCAUGUCCUAGAGGAACUUAAACGAAUUUUGGACAACAGCAACCCAAACUAUGUGGCAGAGAUGCGACAGCGGUUGCUUGAAUUUAAAACUAAAGCAACUUUUUAUGGGGUGUUCAGGAAAGUCAUGAAACCGCCAAUGAAACUUUCUGCCGGAAAGGCCUGCAGUUCAGAAUAUAUAUUCAAUUCAAUUUAUUGUUUAAAGUGUAGUAUCACCAUGAACUUGGUCUCAGAAUACUGAUUCACAAUUGAAUAAAUGAAAUAAGAUUAUAGUUACAUAGGCAAAUCAUUAAUCAUCACUAGGUGGCGGGCCAAAGUCUGGGUUACUGCAUAUUAAGACGCUGCAAUAGGUGCACUCGCAACAACUAGGCCUACAUGGAGAAUGGAUAGGUCUACUACAAAUAACUAAUGAUAAUAAACCAUGUGAAUGAGCCCAUUGGUUGUCUGUUUGAAUAAUUUAAUUAUUUUAACGAACUCUGUCUUAUGCCCUGUCAAUAUAGCCUUGCCUAUUGUGAAUAAUAGCAAUGACGACGUUUUUUCAACAUUGAG